rnacentral:snoRNA from 1 species
AAUGAGAACACCGGUUGUGAUCUGAGUCCAAGGCACUGUUGAGACCAUUCCAUCAAAGUCUUUCGCUCCUAUCUGAUUCUCAAC